UAGCAAGCCACUUGAUUGGGCAGAAUCCUUUUCCUCCCCUUCCCCUCCCUCUUCCUUACCCCCUGCUGUCUGAUGUUUUCUCUGAAUAAAGCCACUUUUCUCUGCCAGCAUCUUAUCAAGUCUCCUGUCUGCUCAUUAGAGUGAUUUCUCAGGAUGACUACACCUAAGCCCUGGUUUUGCUGGUUUUCCCUUCUCCUCCUGGCUUGCCUGCAGGUCCAGCUGGUGUCAGCAGGCAUGGGACCUAAAGAGCAUGAACUUCCUCUGUGGCCAGGCAAGAACGCCAGCCCCAUUGCACUCAAGCACUACUGGGAUGUAAUGAACCAGUUUUUGGACGAAGAAGAAAGGCUGGAAGCCCAAAACACAAAGAAGAAACCAGUGAGUCAGAAGUCCAAAACUCCCUUGCCCAACAAGAACUCCAGAAAGACCUGACCCCACCAAACCUCUGGUGUCCAUUCUUUCCUCUCAUAAGAAGUUCCAACACAGAGGCAAGUGGCCCUCCAAGUUUCAUGGGUGGCACCCAACCAUGCUAUCCACCCUCUUCCCCACAAGGUCACAACUUCCCACCAGCCCCAUCUCUGACAACACUCAUGAGAACAUCUGAUUCUGUGACUAGAAAGUGACACAAUAAAAUGGAAUCUCUGGCA